rnacentral:lncRNA from 1 species
UUCUUCUUGCGGGAGAAGGUUCUGGUAAGCUCGUCAGGUGCUGGCGUAAGUAGUAACUCCUAGCGUUGCUAAAGCUUUCUAAGGCCUAUUAUCGUUAUUCAAACGGUAUCACAGAUAAUCUUGACGUUCUUCUGGCAAGCGUUUGAAGAGGGGUUUGAUAGCUAGGAAAGUAAAGUUAGAAAGGAAGGCAUUGUACUAUUGGGCAAGUAGCGGUUGUAGUCUCGGCUUUAUUGUAGCUUUGGGGAUUUUUUAGUGCUACUUUAAGAUUUCAAAAAAGGCUUCAAGCUCAAGUGCAAGCACGGUCAUUUUCAUCAUGUACACCUAAGAACAUCCAUGAAUAAAAAUAAAUAUGCAAUCAUGAUAAGAUACCCCACUUUUCAUCUAACUUCAU